rnacentral:rRNA from 1 species
AUUGAACGCUGGCGGCAGGCCUAACACAUGCAAGUCGAGCGGAUGAAGGGAGCUUGCUUCUGGAUUCAGCGGCGGACGGGUGAGUAAUGCCUAGGAAUCUGCCUGGUAGUGGGGGAUAACGUCCGGAAACGGGCGCUAAUACCGCAUACGUUCUGAGGGAGAAAGUGGGGGAUCUUCGGACCUCACGCUAUCAGAUGAGCCUAGGUCGGAUUAGCUAGUUGGUGGGGUAAAGGCCUACCAAGGCGACGAUCCGUAACUGGUCUGAGAGGAUGAUCAGUCACACUGGAACUGAGACACGGUCCAGACUCCUACGGGAGGAAGCAGUGGGGAAUAUUGGACAAUGGGCGAAAGCCUGAUCCAGCCAUGCCGCGUGUGUGAAGAAGGUCUUCGGAUUGUAAAGCACUUUAAGUUGGGAGGAAGGGCAGUAAGGUAAUACCUUGCUGUAUUGACGUUACCAACAGAAUAAGCACCGGCUAACUUCGUG